GACUGACUGACUUGGAAUACUCCUGGCUGAACGCUGUAACACUCAGAUAGCACAAAGUUACUUCUGCAAAGGACCAAGAAUCUGCAGUUUCCUGAUGAUGCAAAAUUACGGUAGGCAGAAUUAGAGCUGACUGGGAGCAUUUGCCCAAGGGUCUCACAAAUACUAAGUGAUACGGCAGUAAGAUGGCAGAUGAAAUUCUAUGUCAAUAAAUGCAAGCUAGUAUAAGUAGCAAUGGAAACAACUCUAAACAUACACAAUAACGGGCUCUAAAUUAGCCUGUAACAGUUGGAGUCUUUGUGAAUAGUUCUCUGCAAACAUUAGCUUACUACUCAGCAGUAGACAAAAAGGCAAACAAUGCUAGAAAUUACUACAAAAGCAAGUGAGAACAAACAGCAGACCUCAUUACACCACUAUAUGAAUCUCUUGUGUACUUGAGUACUGCGUACGGUUCCGGUUCAUACAAAAACGUAGAACUAGAAAAUGUAUAUACAAAGCUAAAAGAAUAUCCAGAGGUAUGGAGAGACUUCUGUGUGACGAGAUAUUUCUAACAAGAAAACAGGCUGAGAAAGGACAGUCUUCUGAUCUGCAAGAUCAUGAAGGACAGGAAGGAGGCCAAUAGGAAAUGAUUAUGCACUACUUGUCAAUAUAUAAACCUUAAGGGAGGCCCAGUAAAUGGUCAGGCAAUAGAUUUAAAGCAAAGAGAGGGGAAGACCUUUUCCAUGCAAAGUAUUAUUACAUUGGAUGCCUUGCUGCUCUGAGAAGCUACAGAACCGAAGAGACAGACGUAUUUAAACAGGGAUUACACGAAUGAAUGAAUGAAGGGUAUCAGUAGCUAUUAAGCACAAUGAUUUCCCUUUCAGCUCCUACUUAAAAGGUGCCUGCCUGAUGCCUGCUGAAAGCUGCCAGAGAAAGAACGCUCUUUACAAGCCUUGUUUCAACACUCUUCUUCGCAAGCACUGGUUUCCAGCCAUUGUGGAGAAUGGGGUGCCAGAUUAAAUGGACUUUCACUCUGAGUCUGCACAGCCAUUCAGAUGAUUUAGUCCUUUCUUUCUACCCAGUUAUAUAUGAGAAAACAAGGAUACGCAUCACCUCUGAGCUUGAGCUACCAGAACUGCCUUAACCGUUUGGAAGCGCUUCUGUGCUUAAAAUGCAAUACAGUAUUAGGCUGACUCCAAAAGGCCUAAUCCUGUUUGUAACUCAAGUUUCUCCUGCUGCAUUUGUCCCUGCCAAAAUUAGAGGUGGUGAAUGAGCUAUUUGAUCUGAAAGUUGUUUAAGUUGUUCCAAUAAGCUCAAGACAGCUACAGCUACAUGGUGAACUGUCAGUGCAAGGAGAAGGAACAGAAUCAUCACACAGUAGAGGAAUGAAAAAGAAAUUAACCAACAACAUAAAACACCUCAACAGAAAGCACAUUUUGAAUGACAGACACCGCUGUAAAAAUAAACCUGGUGCCACAACAUUAAUUAUGUACA
rnacentral:lncRNA from 1 species